CCAGAAAUGAAAAACUAAAGACCCGUUCCCAUCCCAGCAGGUAACUGUCAUUCAUGGGCUGUGCAAAAUACAUCUCACAUUUUUAAGUGCAGAACAAAAUGAAUAAAGUCAAUUUGGAAUUUAGUAAAAACUCCCUGGUAUGCAUUUUAAGACCUUGAGCUGUAUACUGCAAUGAAUCUAAAUUUAGAGACGGAAAAUUAGAACAAAGCCACCUAUUUAUUAACUCAGCACUUUACAAGGAGCUGUGGUUGUGUUUUGGGUAGGAUCACUGGACAGUUGAUGCACGUUACUGUCCUUUUGAAACCAUAAAAGUUACGUUUUCUUAAGCAUCUGCCUUUGAUGAACUUUCCUACGGGCUCUAUUUUAAGAGUUGUGUUUCCCUCUCAUCCUAUUUCUAUACUACAUAGAUAUUUCCAGGGUUUUACACUCUUCCUUUAUGGAAACAACUUGAUUUAACCAUGAUUUAUUUCAGUGUUCCUCAGGUACAGCAGAAUUACUGGCUGCCAAUUAUCCCUUUAUUAAGGGAUACUCCAUGGUUUAUUUUAAAAGCAUUUCUCCUUGUAGUGAAGCUGAUACAACAAAAAGGCCUUUGUGGUAGUCAGGGUGAUCUUAAACAAGAGGUAUGCUGGACACUAAAAGCCGAGUGGCUUCCUUACUUGGAAACAAAUGGUGAAUGUUGCAAAAAGAUAUGGACUCAGAAGUGGUCCUUCUUGCUACUGACUGAGAUGGAAGAACAUCCAUUAAGUAGUAUGGCGCUGAGAGGUGUGACCCAAUGCUUAAUCAGAAUAAAGAUGGUGAAAGUGGGCAUGUGUCUCCCUAGGUAGCCAAUUCUUGAAUUUUGCAAACUUUAAAAGUCAACUAAGUGUCUGAAGAGGGCAAAUGGAAAGCAGAAGUCUUCAUUCAUUCAUUCAUCCAUCCAUCCUGUUUAAAAGAUCUGUCCUAUUGUUAUUUAGGUGACAUUGAGAUUAAGCCAGAGUUUAGAUAUUUACUCAUGUUUCACUGCAAUUCCUCAACAUCACAUAGUCAGUGGGUAAGGAACGGUGGACCGAAGGGUCAGAUGGCCACUGUAUGUACUCAUUCACCUUGGUCAAGUUCUUUAGUGUCUCUAGGGCCUCAGUUUCCCUGUCCUCAAGUUGCUCAUAGUCCAGUCUGGGAGAUAGAGAACAACCAAACAAUGACUCAAAGAAAACAGACCAAAUUGCAGCUGCUGAGAGCUUCAGAGGACCAGAGCAUGGUGCUCUGAGAGGCUGCCACAGGGAUCUGGUUGGGAGAGCAGGAGAGCUUCCAGGAGGAAAUGAUGCUGAACUGAGAUCUGGAGGACAGGUAUGAGCUAAGGGGGAAAGUGAUCAGGAAAAGGCAAUCUCAGCCAAGGGAGGAGCCUCGACAAAGGUCCUGUGGUCAGAGGGGGAAGAUGAAUGUGAGGGAUGCGAGGCCAGUGUGUCUGAAGGGCUGAGUAAGUGGCAGGGACCAGAAUGCAUAGGGUCAUAUAGGCCAAGUUCAGAAGUUUUUUAAGAGCCACAGAAAGCCAGUGAACAGGCCUCAAGAUGUGUGUGUGUAUGUACGUGUGUGCAUGUAUGUGUGUGCAUGUGCAUGUAUGUGUGUGCAUGUGCAUGUAUGUGUGUGCAUGUACACGUACAUGUGUAUGCAUGUAUGUGUAUGCAUGUACAUGUGUGAAUGUAUGUGUGUGCAUGUAUGUGUGUGCAUGUACGUGUGUGCAUGUAUGUGUAUGUGUGUACGUGUGUGAAUGUAUGUGUGCACAUUUAAGUGUGUGUGCAUGUACAUGUGUGUGCAUGUGUGCAUGUACGUGUGUGAAUGUAUGUGUGUGCACAUUUAAGUGUGUGUGUAUGUACGUGUGUGCAUGUGUGUGUGCAUGUACGUGCAUGUGCAUGUAUGUGUGUGCACGCACAUGUGUGUGCAUGUAAGCGUGUGCAUGUGCAUGUAUGUGUGCAUGUAUGUGUGUGUGCAUGUAUGUGUGUGCGUGUAUGUGUGUGAAUGUAUGUGUGCACAUUUGAGUGUGUGUGCAUGUACGUGUGUGCAUGUACAUGUAUGUGUGUGUGUGCACAUGUAUGCGUGUAGGUAGGCUGGGUGAGGACCCGAGAGCAUGAUGUAAUGCAUGCUUGGUAGAAUCACUGUGGCCACAGGUAAGAGAGAGCUGAGGGGAGGCAGGCAGAUCUGGCAAGAGUCUCCUCAGCUGUCCAGGUUAAAGGUAACGGUAACUUGUGCAAAGGUGGUGGUAUAGGAUUGGAGAGAAAUGCAUGGAUUUGAAGACGUUUGAAAGUCAAGCUCAGGACUAGUUCAUGGUUGGAUUACGGGCAGCCGGGAACUGAGGGGUAAAGAAGACCUGUGGGCUCUGACACCAGAAGUGGAUAAAUGUGGGGCCAUCCCUGACCAAGCCUGGGAGACCUGGAAGUGGACAAGGAUUCAGAGAAGGAGAUUAGGUGUUUGGGUUAAGUGUUGGGUGUUUGCUGAGUUGCCUUUGGGAAGCCCUAAAGAAGAGGACCUGGGCUUGAACCUUGAGUCGCUGCAGCGCUGACUGGCUUGGAGAAGGUCUGUGAAGGCUGCAGACAAGGCCAGGCCGGUGAGGUAGCUGCUGGACAGAGUAAAAGAGGGUUUCUCAGGGGGAAAUGUGGUCCACAGUGUUGAAUGCCACCAGGAAGUUAAGUGAGAUGCGGGAGAGAAAUUUGGGGUUGGAGGUAGAGAUACUGAAGACUUUGGCCAUUUUUGAUCAUACCAGGACUUUAUACAACACAAUUAUCAGGUCAUAUCAGAAAAGAUUGCUUCUGAUGGAGACAGGAUUAAAUAAGACAACCUCAGCAAAGUGCUGGUACAUUGGAAACACUCAACACUCAUACAUAGAGAAUUAUCUGUCUCUUGUUUCUAUAAGAAAGAGAAUUCGUAGCAGGUUUCUGCCAGGUCUGUUCACCUUGGCCCUGUGGACAUCCUGGGCUGAAUGAUUCCAGCCUGGGGUGUGCUGUGCAUUGUAGGAUGUCCAGCAGCAUCCCUGGCCUUAUCCAGGAGAUGCCAAUACAUGCCCCUAAGAUGUGGCACAAAAAGUGACAUUGAGAAAUGCCUCUGGGAAGGAGGCGCAAAAUUGCCCCCAGUUUAUU
rnacentral:lncRNA from 1 species